UUUUGAAUCAGCAGCUUAUGCAGCACAAGCUGCAAGAGCUGCUGUUGAACUCUCGAGAUAUGAUUCUCAGGACAUUGAACGGGAUGAUCAUGGUGAUUCUAGUCAUGGCCAAGGGACUCUGUAUGAUUCUGAUGGGUCAUUGACACCUGAACUUCAAGGCAGAUAUGAAGCUUCAGAGGAGAACAAGCAAGCUGCAAGAGCUGCUGUUGAACUCUCGAGAUAUGAUUCUCAGGACAUUGAACGGGAUGAUCAUGGUGAUUCUAGUCAUGGACAAGGGACUCUGUAUGAUUCUGAUGGGUCAUUGACACCUGAACUUCAAGGCAGAUAUGAAGCUUCAGAGGAGAACAAGCAAGCUGCAAGAGCUGCUGUUGAACUCUCAAGAUAUGAUUCUCAGGACAUUGAACGGGAUGAUCAUGGUGAUUCUAGUCAUGGACAAGGGACUCUGUAUGAUUCUGAUGGGUCAUUGACCCCUGAACUUCAAGGCAGAUAUGAAGCUUCAGAGGAGAACAAGCAAGCUGCAAGAGCAGCUGUUGAACUCUCAAGAUAUGAUUCUCAGGAUAUUGAAUGGGAUGAUCGUCAUGGACAGGGGACUCUGUAUGAUUCUGAUGGGCCAUUGAUACCUGAACUUCAAGGCAGAUAUGAAGCUUCAGAGGAGAACAAGCUAUCAAAUGAUAGUUUGGUAUUUAACGAAAUAUACACGAUUGACAAUAUCAGUUCUGAAUCAGAAGAUGAAAACAUGAAAGGAAACGGAAGAGUGCAUCUUGAGUUU
rnacentral:lncRNA from 1 species